rnacentral:lncRNA from 10 species
GCACUAUUAUAAUUUAUUUACUUAUUUCUUUAUACACACCCAAAUCAGAUUUAAGGGCACUUUUAAGAUUACCUAAAAUAUAGUUUAUGUUACAAUAAGCGUAAAUAGAAAACUUAUUUUAAGUUUUAUUAAUUCAACAAACAUUGGCUGAGCAUCUCUGUUAGGCAUUAUGUUUUCAAAUAUGAUGUAAAAGUAAAUAAAGGGUAAGAGAUCAGGGACAUUGUUAAACAUCCUACAAUGCACAGCACAGCCCUCCACAAUAAAUAGUUAUCUGGCCAAAAAUGUCACUAGUGCUGAGAUUGAGAAAUGCCAGCCUAAAGUGAUUUAAUGUGACUUAAUAAGCUUAAUUUAUUAUCUGAGAGACAUGACAAACACAUAGGUAUAUUUUCACAGAUAUGAAAAAUGUAGAUAGGACAAAAGUUUUACAGUUCACAUAAAAUUCCACAUUACUAUAUAUUUAUAAUUACAAAGACUACUAAUGGCACAUUUUUAUGAAUAGCAUUGCACUGAACUUUCUUAGAUGAGCAGUGAUUUUUACCUUGCUGGAAUUUUAUAGUGGAGCUAUUUCCUUCAUCUUUUUCAAUAUUUAACAUACAUCUAUUUUUAAAAUGUUCUAUAUAAGGUGAUGGAAUGGAAAGCCAAAUAACAACUGUAUUAGGGUAUACACACAUAUAAUUUAAAAAUUACAAUCAUUGUGACGAACACACUAUAUUACAGAACAGUGAACAAGACAGUGAUAGAACAGAAGAGGAUAACUUCUGUAGUUAUUUGGGGCAUCUGUAGUAAGGGAAGGAUACCAAAGACAGCUUCCCAGAAGAACAAAUGCCUGAUCUGAAUGUUUGUCUCAGAAGACAGUGUGUCCGGAAUUGGUUCCUUCUGGUGGGUUCUUGGUCUUGCUGACUUCAAGAAUGAAGCCGCAGACCCUCAUGGUGUUACAGUUCUUAAAGAUGGUAUGUCUGGAGUUUGUUCCUUCAGAUGUUCAUACGUGUCCAGAGUUUCUUCCUUCUGAUGGGUUCGUGGUCUUGCUGACUUCAGGAAUGAAGCUAUAGACCCUUGUGGUGAGUGUUACACCUCAUAAAGGUAGUGAGGACCCAAAGAGUGAGCAGCAGUAAGAUUUAUUGUGAAGAGCAAAAGAACAAACCGUCCACGGCAUUGAAGGGGACCCAACAGGGUUGCCGCUGCUGGCUCAGUUGGCCAGCUUAUAUUCCCUUAUUUGGCCCCGCCCACAUCCUGCUGAUUGGUCCAUUUUACAGAGAGCUGAUUGGUCCAUUUCACAGAGUGCUGGUUGGUGUGUUUACAAUCCUUUAGCUAGACACAGAGCACUGAUUGGUGCGUUUUUACAGAGUGCUGAUUGGUGCAUUGACAAUCCUUUAGCUAGACACAGAGUGCUGAUUGGUACAUUUUUACAGAGUGCUGAUUGGUGCAUUUACAAUCCUUCAGCUAGACAGAAAAGUUCUCCAAGUCCCCACUUGACCCAGGAAGUCCAGCUGGCUUCACCUCUCAAUAGGGGGGCCUUAUAUGUAUAUCUUGCCAAAGAAAGAACUUCUAUUUUACUAAUAACAGGUUUACCAAUCAUCUCAAUGAAGUAUUUAGAGAAGAGAAUUUCUUAAGGUUUACAUUUUAGAAAGAUCACUCAGGAUGGUUGUAAAGUGGCCAGGCAGGAGAAAGAGAUACUAAUUAGAACCCAUAUCCAAGGUGAUAAGGCUCUGGAAUAAGACAGUCAUCCAAUAAUGAAGGGGAAAAAGGAGGAGAUGCAUUGAAGAAAUGUUAAGAAAAACUGGUAGAACUACAGAUGAUACUUCAUGGGCACAUUAAUAUAAGGAAAUUGCCUCUGGUGGCAAAAACUAGGAUGAGCCCAUGCUGUGGGAUGCUUUCAGGGCAGGCUAAAAAGGAAUAUGUAAAUAUUUAUAAUACAAAAUUACCAUUAGUUUAAUAUCCAUAUAUAACACAAAACUUUUAAUUACUAAAUUAACCUUUUUUUCUUUUUUUUGGAGACAGGGUCUUGCUCUGUCACCCAGGCUGGUGGGCAGUGGCAUGAUCGUAGUUCACUGUAACCUCAAACUCCUGGGCUCAAGUGAGUCUCCUGCCUCAGCCUCUCAAGUAGCUGGGACUACACACAUGCACCACCACACCCAGCUAAUAUUUUUAUUUUUUUGUAGAUAUAGGUUCUCACUAUGUUGUUCAGGCUGGUCUUAAACUCCUAGCUUCAGGCACUCCUCCUGUCUUAGUGCCACAAAGCACUGGGACUAUAGGCAUGAGCCACAAUGCCUGGCCUCUUAAUUUUAUCUUAAGCACAAAACUGACUAUAAAAUACUUUAAAAAUAGAGGUAUCAAACUUCAGGGCCCAAGUAAACAAUGUGGAGGUCAUCAUUACCAUCCUCACAACAAGAAAAAUACCGAACAAACCGAAAAUCAACAACUCUUCUUGGAACCAUCAAAGAAUUAUGGUAAUAGAGCAAACUGCAGCCACUAAAACUGGAGAGAUAGACAUGCAGAUACAGACAAUCACAGCUUAGUGGGAGCAGAAGCCUGAAGCUGCAGCCACUAUCUGGAGGAAUACUUGAAACUGUAAUUAACAAACUUCUGGAGGCUUAGUGUCAACUAACUUGAGAAUUAAAUACUCUGAGGGGGUCCAGUCUUAGGGGCGCACCCACACUUUCUUGAGUUUUACCUACAGGAGGCCCAUCAGGUUCUCCUGUGAAGACCAGAGAAAAAUCCCCAGCUGCUCUGGUAGAGGGAGGAGUAAAGUCACCAUUUUGAAACACACCAAGGGUUUUCUAUUCUUAACAAGGCCUGCCUCAAGGGAAACUAUUUUACCAGAACCUAUCAGAAGAGGGUUUUACCAAAGCCCUAACAACCUUGGGGAAGGGAAAUAAAUACCCAACUUAGUUUCAAUAAAAC